UGCUGAAAGCAUCUAAGCACGAAGCCCCCCUCAAGAUGAGAUUUCCCAUUGCGCAAGCAAGUAAGAUCCCUCAAAGACGAUGAGGUAGAUAGGUUCGGGGUGGAAGCGUGGCGACACGUGCAGCUGACGAAUACUAAUCGAUCGAGGACUUAACCAA
rnacentral:rRNA from 1 species